rnacentral:tRNA from 1 species
GGAGGGCUGGCCGAGUGGCAAGGCACCGGAUUGCUAAUCCGUGGUCCGGGACGGCACGUCCCGGCGCGCGUUCGACCCGCGCGCCCUCCG